UACGAAGGGGGCUAGCGUUGUUCGGAAUUACUGGGCGUAAAGCGCACGUAGGCGGACUACUAAGUCAGGGGUGAAAUCCCGGGGCUCAACCCCGGAACUGCCUUUGAUACUGAUAGUCUCGAGUCCGGAAGAGGUGAGUGGAAUUCCGAGUGUAGAGGUGAAAUGCGCAGAUAUCAGGAAGAACACCCGUGGCGAAGGCGGCUCUCUGGGACGGUACUGACGCUGAGACGCGAAAGCGUGGGGAGCGAACAGG
rnacentral:rRNA from 1 species